CAGUCGCCGCGGUAAUACGAAGGGUGCAAGCGUUACUCGGGAUUACUGGGCGUAAAGCGUGCGUAGGUGGUGGUUUAAGUCCGUUGUGAAAGCCCUGGGCUCAACCUGGGAAUUGCAGUGGAUACUGGGUCACUAGAGUGUGGUAGAGGAUAGUGGAAUUUCCGGUGUAGCAGUGAAAUGCGUAGAGAUCGGAAGGAACAUCUGUGGCGAAGGCGACUAUCUGGGCCAACACUGACACUGAGGCACGAAAGCGUGGGGAGCAAACAGGAUUAGAUACCCCAGUAGUCCCUGUCUCUUAUAC
rnacentral:rRNA from 1 species